GACGAACGCUGGCGGCGUGCUUAACACAUGCAAGUCGAACGGAAAGACCCUGCUUUUGUGGGGUGCUCGAGUGGCGAACGGGUGAGUAACACGUGAGUAACCUGCCCUUGACUUUGGGAUAACUUCAGGAAACUGGGGCUAAUACCGGGUAGGAGCUCCUGCUGCAUGGUGGGGGUUGGAAAGUUUCGGCGGUUGGGGAUGGACUCGCGGCUUAUCAGCUUGUUGGUGGGGUAGUGGCUUACCAAGGCUAUGACGGGUAGCCGGCCUGAGAGGGUGACCGGCCACAUUGGGACUGAGAUACGGCCCAGACUCCUACGGGAGGCAGCAGUGGGGAAUAUUGCACAAUGGGCGGAAGCCUGAUGCAGCAACGCCGCGUGCGGGAUGACGGCCUUCGGGUUGUAAACCGCUUUCGCCUGUGACGAAGCGUGAGUGACGGUAAUGGGUAAAGAAGCACCGGCUAACUACGUG
rnacentral:rRNA from 1 species